rnacentral:rRNA from 1 species
UUUUGCCUACGGGGCGCAGCAGUGAGGAAUAUUGGUCAAUGGGCGAGAGCCUGAACCAGCCAAGUCGCGUGAGGGAGUACUGCCCUAUGGGUUGUAAACCUCUUUUGUCGGGGAGCAAAAGCCGGACGUGUCCGGCUGUGAGAGUACCCGAAGAAAAAGCAUCGGCUAACUCCGUGCCAGCAGCCGCGGUAAUACGGAGGAUCCGAGCGUUAUCCGGAUUUAUUGGGUUUAAAGGGAGCGUAGGUGGAUUGUUAAGUCAGUUGUGAAAGUUUGCGGCUCAACCGUAAAAUUGCAGUUGAAACUGG